rnacentral:rRNA from 1 species
GGGAAUACAUUUUACACGAUUGACCAAGAUCAAAAGAGCACUAACCAAAACAGCGGUGUCCGCUUUGAUGCAACAACCGAGAGGGGAAAUGACACAUAUUAUGGUUACAUAGUGGACAUAUGGGAACUUGACUACGGACAUGAUUUUAAGGUCCCUUUGUUUAAGUGCAAAUGGGUCAAUCUAUCAGGAGGCGGGGUACAGGUAGACCCACAGUACGGAAUGACAACAGUGGAUCUGAAAAAUCUUGGGUACACUGACGAACCAUUCGUCCUAGCCAAUGAUGUGGCACAGGUUAUCUAUGUGAAGGACAUGUCUACCAGACCGAGAAAGAGAAAAGAUUAG